rnacentral:rRNA from 1 species
UACGUAGGGGGCAAGCGUUGUCCGGAUUUAUUGGGCGUAAAGAGCGUGUAGGCGGUUUGGUAGGUCCGCUGUGAAAACUCGAGGCUCAACCUCGAGACGCCGGUGGAAACCAUCAGACUAGAGUCCGGAAGAGGAGAGUGGAAUUCCUGGUGUAGCGGUGAAAUGCGCAGAUAUCAGGAGGAACACCGGUGGCGAAGGCGGGUCUCUGGGCCGAUACUGACACUGAGAAGCGAAAGCGUGGGGAGCGAACAGG